rnacentral:misc_RNA from 1 species
GAAAUGCGAUAAGUAGUGUGAAUUUCAGAAUUCAGUGAAUCAUCUAAUCUUUGAACGCACAUUGCGCCCCUUGGUAUUCCAUGGGGCAUGCCUGUUCGAGCGUCAUUUGUACCCUCAAGCUCUGCUUGGUGUUGGGUGUUUGUCCCGUCUCCGCGCGUGGACUCGCCCCAAAGUGAUUGGCAGCCGGCGUACUGGUCCCGGAGCGCAGCACAUGUCGCGCAAACGAGUGCCUUGGUACGGCGGCGUCCAUAAGCCCCUCUCUCACGCUCUUGACCUCGGAUCAGGUAGGGAUACCCGCUGAACUUAAGC